CCCCCCGCAAGCAGAGAGACCCCAGCAGCAGCAGCAGCUGAUGAUGAAGAGAGAGGCAGUGGCAGAGGGGGGGCACCUUUUAUUUCUAUUUUUAAAGGGACAGGACACUAAUUUUACCCCACUUCAACCUUGAAUUGAGGGGGGUGGGGGGAAGGCGACUGAGUUCCUUCCCCCACCCUCCAGCCCUAAGCCCUGAGUGGGGGAUUGAGCCUGAGAGAGAAGGAGAAGGAGUUUCUUCUUCUUCGAAAACCCCCAUCCACGACUCCUACCCCCUCACCCCUCCACUCGCCUUCCUCCCGAGCCCCCUCCACCCUCCUCUUUGGCCGUGAGAGGAGGAGAGAAAGAGACCAAAAGCCUCUUAGCAACACAGACCCUUCGCUGCUGCUGCUGCUGCUGCUGCUGCUGCUGCUGCUUGCUGCUGUUGCUGCUGCUGCUGCUGCUGCUGCUGCUGCUGCUGCUGCUGCUGUUGCUGUUGCUGCUGCUGCUGCUGCUGCUGUUGCUGCUGCUGCUUGGCCCUGGCUGGAGACAUCUCACUACACCCAGGAGCAGCCACUUACCCAGCUCUCCUCCUCCUCCUUCGCCUCCUCCUCCUCCACUCCCCCCCUUUAUUACCCUUUGUGUCAUCCUCCACAGCUCCAGGGAAGGCACUCAAAAGUGGGGGGCAGGAAAGAUGUACAUUGAAGAUGUCAGUUUCUGCAUGUGGGUAGUACAUAUUGAAGGCAAUAUGGUUUACAGACAAGACCUUUAGAAGUUAAACACUCAAGGACCAAGCAAAUAAAUACUAGAAAACAAGAGCACAGAAUAUUUUCCUUCAUCAAUCCAUAGAAUUCAGAUAUUUCUCUAAUUCCAUCAAACACAGAGGAGUGACCACCUGGCAGAUGGCCACAAAGGAUGUCAGCAAUUUU